rnacentral:pre_miRNA from 1 species
GAGUAGGAGGGCGCGGUGGUGAGCGUAAAAGGAUACGGCGCGAGCCGGUCUGGAGCCGCCACUGGUGCGGAUCUUGGGG